CUCGUAGGCGGCUCGUCGCGUCGACCGUGAAAACCCGCGGCUUAACUGCGGGCUUGCGGUUGAUACGGGCGGGCUAGAGUUCGGUAGGGGAGACUGGAAUUCCUGGUGUAGCGGUGAAAUGCGCAGAUAUCAGGAGGAACACCGGUGGCGAAGGCGGGUCUCUGGGCCGAUACUGACGCUGAGGAGCGAAAGCGUGGGGAGCGAACA
rnacentral:rRNA from 1 species